rnacentral:rRNA from 1 species
UACGUAGGGUGCAAGCGUUGUCCGGAUUUAUUGGGCGUAAAGAGCGUGUAGGCGGCUUGGCAAGUCUGCUGUGAAAACUCGAGGCUCAACCUCGAGCUGUCGGCGGAAACUGCUUGGCUAGAGUCCGGAAGAGGAGAGUGGAAUUCCUGGUGUAGCGGUGAAAUGCGCAGAUAUCAGGAAGAACACCUAUGGCGAAGGCAGCUCUCUGGGACGGUACUGACGCUGAGACGCGAAAGCGUGGGGAGCGAACAGG